rnacentral:rRNA from 1 species
UACGAAGGGGGCUAGCGUUGUUCGGAAUCACUGGGCGUAAAGCGCACGUAGGCGGACAUUUAAGUCAGGGGUGAAAGCCUGGAGCUCAACUCCAGAACUGCCCUUGAUACUGGGUGUCUCGAGUCCGGAAGAGGUAAGUGGAACUGCGAGUGUAGAGGUGAAAUUCGUAGAUAUUCGCAAGAACACCAGUGGCGAAGGCGGCUUACUGGUCCGGUACUGACGCUGAGGUGCGAAAGCGUGGGGAG